rnacentral:rRNA from 1 species
UACGGAGGGUGCAAACGUUAUCCGGAUUCACUGGGUUUAAAGGGUGCGUAGGUGGGCAGGUAAGUCCGUGGUGAAAUCUCUGAGCUUAACUCAGAAACUGCCGUGGAUACUAUUUGUCUUGAAUGUUGUGGAGGUGAGCGGAAUAUGUCAUGUAGCGGUGAAAUGCUUAGAUAUGACAUAGAACACCAAUUGCGAAGGCAGCUCACUACACAAUUAUUGACGCUGAGGCACGAAAGCGUGGGGAUCAAACAGG